UCUGAUCACACCACCCACAAAGACAAAGCAGAUACGCUGCUGGCGGCACAAUUCGCUGCUGCUCAGCCACGUCAUGCUCAUCCGCGGAAUUUGGUCCGUCGUAUGAAUACACCUUUAGGGAGCCGAC
rnacentral:lncRNA from 1 species